CUACGGGGCGCAGCAGGCGCGAAACCUCCACAAUGCACGAAAGUGCGAUGGGGGAACCCCAAGUGCCUAUGCACGGCAUAGGUUUUUCCCAAGUGUAAACAGCUUGGGGAAUAAGGGCUGGGCAAGUCCGGUGCCAGCAGCCGCGGUAACACCGGCGGCCCAAGUGGUGGCCACUCUUAUUGGGCCUAAAGCGUCCGUAGCCGGUCCAGUAAGUCCCUGUUUAAAUCCUGCGGCUUAACCGCAGGACUGGCAGGGAUACUGCUGGACUAGGGACCGGGAGAGGGUGAGGGUACUCCAGGGGUAGCGGUGAAAUGCGUUGAUCCCUGGAGGACCACCUAUGGCGAAGGCACUCACCUGGAACGGGUCCGACGGUGAGGGGCGAAGGCCAGGGGAGCGAACCGGAUUAGAUACCCGGGUAGUCCCGGCUGUAAAGGAUGCGGGAUAGGUGUCGGGUGAGCUCCGACCUCGCCCGGUGCCGCAGG
rnacentral:rRNA from 1 species